rnacentral:rRNA from 1 species
CAGUGAGGAAGGUGGGUAUGUUAAUAGCAUAUUCAUUUUGACGUUUAGCUGCAGAAGAAGCACCGGCUAACUCCGUGCCAGCAGCCGCGGUAAUACGGAGGGUGCGUAGCGUUAAUCGGGAAUUACUGGGCGUAAAGCGCAUGCAGGUGGUUUGUUAAGUCAGAUGUGAAAGCCCGGGGCUCAACCUCGGAAUUGCAUUUGAAACUGGCAAACUAGAGUACUGUAGAGGGGGUAGAAUUUCAGGUGUAGCGGUGAAAUGCGUAGAGAUCUGAAGGAAUACCCGGUGGCGAAGGCGGCCCCCCUGGACAGAUACUGACACUCAGAUGCGAAAGCGUGGGGGAGCAAACAGGAUUAGAUACCAUGGUAG